rnacentral:rRNA from 1 species
AGUCACACUGGAACUGAGACACGGUCCAGACUCCUACGGGAGGCAGCAGUGGGGAAUAUUGGACAAUGGGCGAAAGCCUGAUCCAGCCAUGCCGCGUGUGUGAAGAAGGUCUUCGGAUUGUAAAGCACUUUAAGUUGGGAGGAAGGGUUGUACGCUAAUACGUGCAUUUUGACGUUACCGACAGAAUAAGCACCGGCUAACUCUGUGCCAGCAGCCGCGGUAAUACAGAGGGUGCAAGCGUUAAUCGGAAUUACUGGGCGUAAAGCGCGCGUAGGUGGUUCGUUAA